AGAUGAGGUGAUCUGGGUGCAACAUCUGUCGCCCCACUGAUCUUAGGGUUGAUUCAAUCUAGAUGUGUAGGUAGAUGUCCCUUUUCUCCCUCACAUCCCUCUAGAAGCUUCAUCCUUGGUGGAGGAGAAAACCAUCCUAGAUAGAGUGGGACUUCAGUCAAGGGUAUAUACAAUAGCUGUACUCCCUUGCUAGAACUUCCAAAGAGGCUCAAGAUCCAUUUGUACGGUAGUCAAACUCUCUCGUAACAGAAUCUUGAAAGCUUGACAUAGUUCCCCUGUCUGUCUCUU
rnacentral:snRNA from 1 species